rnacentral:lncRNA from 1 species
CUCUGUUUCUGUUUGCAUUUCUCUAAUUAUUAAUGAUGGUAAGCAUAUUUUUUCUUUAUUUUUAUAGACAGGGUCUUGCUCUGUCGCCUAGGCUGGAGUGCACAUGACCAUAGCUCACUGCAGCCUCAAACUCCUGGGCUUAAGUGAUCCUUCCACCUCAGCCUCCUAAGUAGCUGGGAUUACAGUCAUGCACCACCACACCUUGCUAAUUUAAUUAAUUAAUUAUUAUUUUUUUUUUUGGUAGGGACAAGGUCUCACUAUGUUGCCCAGGCUUGUCUCAAACUCCUGGGCUCAAGUAAUUGUCCUGCCUUGGCCUCUCAAACUGUUGGGAUUAUAGUUAUGAGCCGUCACACCCAGCCUAAGUAUCUGCUUACUUAUUUGUUUUUAUUUUGAAAAGUUCCAAACACAUUGAAAAGUUAAAAAAAAAAAAAAAAGGACACAGAACACCUCCUGUGUAUACCCUCCACUUCUAAUUGCGCAUUUCCUGCAAACUAGAAGUUUUGUGUAGAGGCUUGAAUAGGUUCAGGUGAAACUUUUCAACUUGGCAUCUUUAAUAAUAUUAGCAGGUGAGAGUACUGAGCGUUUUCUAUGGGCCAAUGGUCUCACACCGAUAUUCUCACGGAAUCUCAUAAUGACUCUGGGUAGAGGAUGCAGUGGUUGCUUCUACCUCCCUAGAAUCCACAGCGCUCUUUCCUGGUAAUGACAUUUUGAUUUUCCUCACAGAAAUCACUCAUCCUUUGUCGAUCCACCUGCUCAGAUGAGGCUGACCUCAACUUCCAACCCCAGAGGUACAUGUGACUGAGGCAUUACAACUAGAGAUGCCUUGAUUGGCCAGGGAGAGGCACGUGAUCCAUGUUGGGCCAAUAAGAGCCAGCCUCUGAGCUACCGUAGAUCAUUGAAUAGAAGGCAUCAUCGGGAGAUUGGUUUGUCAAAUGGAUACAGGCCUGAGAGAAAACAUCAACUAAAAAGACAUCAGUUUUGUCUGCCUCACGUCACUUUCUGCAAAGGCUGUAAUGUGAUCUUUUUGAUGGCUGACUCUAAAUCCUAUGU